rnacentral:rRNA from 1 species
UUCCGGUUGAUCCUGCCGGAGGACAUUGCUAUUGGGAUUCGAUUUAGCCAUGCUAGUCGAGCGAGUUCACACUCGUGGCACAUAGCUCAGUAACACGUGGCCAAGCUACCCUUCAGUCAGCAAUACCCUCGGGAAACUGAGGCUAAUAGCUGAUACGAAACAGACGCUGGAAUGCACUGUAUUCCAAAGACACCGCUGAAGGAUGCGGCUGCGGCCGAUUAGGUAGACGGUGGGGUAACGGCCCACCGUGCCAGUAAUCGGUACGGGUGAUGAGAGUCAGAGCCCGGAGACGGAAUCUGAGACAAGAUUCCGGGCCCUACGGGGCGCAGCAGGCGCGAAACCUUUACACUGCACGAAAGUGCGAUAGGGGAAUCCCAAGUGCGAGGGCAUAUUAGCCCUCGCUUUUGUUGACUCUAAGGCGGUCAACGAAUAAGAGCUGGGCAAGACCGGUGCCAGCCGCCGCGGUAAUACCGGCAGCUCAAGUGAUGUCCCAUAUUAUUGGGCCUAAAGCGUCCGUAGCUGGCCGACCAAGUCUAUCGGGAAAUCCACCUGCCCAACAGGUGGGCGUCCGGUAGAAACUGGCCGGCUUGGAACCGGAAGGCUCAGAGAGUACGUCCGGGGUAGGAGUGAAAUCCCGUAAUCCCGGACGGACUACCGAUGGCGAAAGCACUCUGAGAAGACGGCUUCGACAGUGAGGGACGAAAGCUCGGGUCUCAAACC